CCUUCCCUCCUCCCUCUCCUUGCCGCCGUCAGGCCGCCGUCAGGCCGCCCUGACGGUUGAAGUCUGGUCGGCUUCGCCACGCCCUUUUUUCUCGCCUGCUUGGUGAUGGAUGGCGCGGGACGAUCGCGUCGAGCAGUUGCGCUUGCGUUGCCGUAGGGCGCGGCGGCUCGGUGGCGACUGCUGGCGUCAGAGUGCUGGCCGCUGGUCAUUGACAUGGAGAUUUUCGCAUAGGUGGUUCCCCUGUCUACGGCGGCGGCCGAUUUGGCCGGGCGAAGAUUUACACGGAGAUGCCUCCCGUGUCUGGCCGAUUUGACCCGGUGCAGAUAUGGAUUCGGGCUGUUCUGGACUCCAGAAGGUGGCCCUUCCUGGUUGUGCGGAGAAUCGAAGUAGGAGAUGGCCAUGGUCAGCGCCGCUUGGUGCUUCUGUGCGUGUCCACUCAUCAGCCACAUAUAGCCAUGCCUUGUGGUGGGAUCUUGAAGCUCAGCUGUUGUUUUAUCUUUGUUUGUCUUCUGCUGAUCCAUGUUCUUCUUGGGUUUUCCCUGUGUUGUUCCAAGUGGAUGUGCAGAGAGGAGGAGCCUAUCGUCGGCGAGGACGGCUAUGUGCAGAGAGGAGGAGCCUAUCGUCGGCGAGGACGGCUUGCUUCAAUGUCGCCUCCUCCGGAGUCCGGAGGCACCCCUGCGUUUGGUGGCUCUCCGUGUUGGUUUUUGUGCCUGGCGUGGAAGGCAUACUAGGUCUUCAUCUGGUGGCGGCGGGCGUUUCCCUCAGGCUGUGUUUGUAUCUCCUGGCUGCAGGCAUGACUGUACUGAAUGUUCUGAUCGAAAGAAAGACAAUAUGCAGAUCUCAUUUGGUCAAACAUGUAGCCCCCAAAUCCUUUCAAUGGAAUAUCUUUGCACGUAUAUGCCUCAUCUAGGAAAACAAAGACAACCAAACAUGGCAGAACAUUUACGAGCUAGGGUUCAUUGUUGUGAACUGUGAGGUGUUGUUGUCUCACUCCUUCACUUGGGUACAAAAAAUGGCUGGCCUUGCUGGUCGGUAUUUUAUUAAAAGGUCAGGAAUCAAUCUCCCUAGGUCCCGAUCAAAGUGCUCCAGCUCAUGGUUGUCCACCAUAUUUAUGACCUGGCCGACGCCGUCGGCAGCUUACCUUGCGUUCCCAUCUGGAAACCUGAACAUCAUCUCUCCCUAACUCCAACCCACAUCUAUAAUACUUUUCUGUUCUCCUAUUUGGUGUUGUUUGAUAAAUCAAUUAACAUAAGUACAUUGUGGCAUGUUCUUUUACUAACCUGAAUUUACUAUUUCCAUGUUUUAGGAUGAACGGCCAUUGCUCAUGUCUUGGAUUCAUAUGGUUUGUGUUGCUCUAGGUGCAUUCCUGUGAUGGUCUAUGUUCAUUUAACAGGGAUUUUAUCAAUUCAUGCUUAAUUUACAAGUUGUAGUAUUGGCACUUCACUAAUCAGUGUAGAAAACCAUGGCUGCUUUAUUCAAGUGAGGAGAGGCUUGAAAGCAAAAUUGCAAAAUGAAAGGUUAUAUAAUCUUUCACAUCACCUAUCAGAGGCAUUUUUCCGAUGUAAUUUCACUACCAUUAUUGCUUCCCUUUUUUGCCAAGGUUUGGUGUUUUCUUAUAUAAAAAGAGGUUCUAUUGAGGCAUCUUUGAUAUCCAGGUACACGACAUAUUUCCAUUUUUGUAUUUGUUUUCCAAGAGGUGCUAAAAUCCUAGGCGGCCAUUCGAUCGUGGAUGAGACAAAAAAAAAAUCCUUGCUAUGUUACUAGAAUGAUGCCAUACUAAAAUAUAAUUUGCCAGGUAUUCGUUUUUAUGUGGUCUGUUGUCACUGCCAACGUAGCAUUAUUGCUUAGUUAGCUGUGAAUAGAGAAAAUCCCUUUCCAUCAAUCUAUUGUUGUGUACAGACUUUUAGCCCUCAAAUAGUGUGAGUUGGGAGUUAAACUGCACGUCCUCAAGUUUCAUUAGUGCUGAUUAUAUAGGCUACUUAAUGGAAUAUUGUUUCCUUCAACCUCUUCAUACACUCCAAUUCAACUAGAUUUAAUUCAUGAGGGCGCCUCUGUUUAAGCAUUUGUCAUUUUGCAGCCAAUACAAGCUGGAUCUUUGACUUCUUUGUUGUGUGUAGUGGCCAUGUUCUUCCUGCAGGUGCUAUUUUAUCUGUAAGUCGUUACCGGAAGCCUUGCGGUGGAUUCCUCGAAUGUCUAUGUAGAAAGUAUUUAGAAGGCCUAUUAGUACCUCUUGCUAAUGCUUUAUUAUUACCAUUUAACUAUUUUCCAUUUCACUGGAGGUACAUAAAUCUGAAACUGCAGCUUUUGAACUAAACAAGCAUAGAAAGGGCUAGAAGGAGCCAGGUCAAAGCCAUUUGCAUGUGUAAUUGAUCAGUAAUAAUGCAUUAUUACUACUAUCAGAGAUAUUAUGAAUGCAACUUUAAUUUCUGCUACUAAAUUAGAAAUUUAAACAUCUCUUCGUUCUAUUUAAAAGUUUAUCCUGAAUUGAAAGUAUUAUAGGUGCAGGCAACAUGGUGCAGGCUGCAUUCAUUAACUAUAAGGCAUUGUUGUGACCUGUGACCAUCCACAGGUUUUAGAAGCAGAGAUCAUGCCUGGAAGUAAUAAAGAUAUUAGGUGGUACAGGUCGUCCCUUUGCUAUCCACAUGUGGUCAUGUGCCUAUGAUAGUGAUGGCUCAAACAUGGACUAACCGGUGAUAUUGGACAUCAGCAGAACUGUCGCUUUGAUCUUCUAGGUUCUCCUCCGUAGGGUACGUAAUGAUUAGUAGGCGCUGAAAUGGUAAUAAGCUUAAGAUUAGUAGGCCGCCUCUCCCAACCGGUAGGCCAUAUGUACCGGGACAUGAUCUACUUUUGGUUACCAGCAAAAUGACCACUACACAACUACUGUCAUUUGUAUUUUGCUACUAUGGUUAGACAUUAGAUGCCACCAGACAUAUCUCCAUGACUACAAACCAUGUGAUGUAUAAUAUGCAGCAAAACCAUUUGAAUUAUCCAUAGUAAAACCAUCCUCUAUGUAAUGAUCUAUCCCUGCUAUUUAUAUUCUGCACUAUUAUCUAUUCAUAUCACUGAUAAUAGAUACCCUUUAUUUGUUCUAAUCCACCCGAAGAAGCUACAGCAUAAGUGUACUGUUUUGUGUGCACUAAUUCUUUAUUCUGCUCCUUACGUA